rnacentral:rRNA from 1 species
UACGUAGGGGGCAAGCGUUGUCCGGAAUCAUUGGGCGUAAAGCGCGUGUAGGCGGCUCGAUAAGUCUGCUGUGAAAGUCCAGGGCUCAACCCUGGGAUGCCGGUGGAUACUGUCGAGCUCGAGUCCGGAAGAGGCGAGUGGAAUUCCUGGUGUAGCGGUGAAAUGCGCAGAUAUCAGGAGGAACACCAAUGGCGAAGGCAGCUCGCUGGGACGGUACUAACGCUGAGACGCGAAAGCGUGGGGAGCAAACAGG